UUCUAGUUUAACCCUAGAUCUCUCACUCUCUCAAGCUCAUCUAGAUCCAUCUCUCUCUCUCUCUCUCUCUCUCUCUCUAACCCACACACCAACAGUGCAUUCUUUGUUCUCUCGAUCACUUGACCAAAAUUUAUAUAUGACCUAGCUCUCUCGAAACGAGAUGGAAGGGUGAAUCUUCUCAGAGACGUCGUCCGUGUUUGGCCUCUGUAACCUUCGCUCACCUGGGAUUGCUUCAUCUUCUCCUCUAUAUCUAUAUGUAGCCUUCAAGGAGGAGAUCAAGGAAUUCGAGAUCUGAUACGCUCUGCCGGGGGUUUCGACAUCGAUCAACUAUCAGAUGCUGUUGGGGCUUCGAUUCGGUGCAUUCGACACCCUCCUCUGACUUCUUCAUGUUGGACUGCGCAGGACGCGCCGCCUUAAACGAGCACUCAUCUCAAGACUGUAGUAGUCCCACCAUGCUGCAACUAAUGGAGAAAACAAUCAAAGAGAAGAUAAGCAAUUGCCUUCUUUUGAAGGUAUGAAUAUUCAGACGCGUGAAAUAGGUUGUGAUUCAGCUGAGGUUUUGGUUGAAGACAAAAUUUAAGCUUUACAAAAUUUGGUUUGAUAUGGGCGAAUAUGGGAGAAUGAGUUAGGAAAAUAUGAAUACAAAAAUUGUAUUUAGGCCAGAUGUUUCUAUGGGGUUGUUCUCUGAACAAUGCUUUGGGGCCACCUUACCAGGUUUCGGUAGAUACCAACUUUAUCAAUUUCUCUAUCUAGAAUAAGUUGGAUUUGGAGAAGGGAAUGAUGAACUGCCCAUAUGCAAAGUGCAAUCCUGGUAUCACAGAUUAUGUAAUGGCAGAGCUUGAGAAGUUGGGUCAGAAAUAUCGUGUGGCUCUGAGGUUGUCCGUAACAAAAGAAGAGUUGCAGCUGUGGGAUGAAGUCUUGAUGUUUAUAUAUUGAUGGGUGCAUCUGUAAAUUUAUAGUUAGUACAUUUAUUGUAUUAUACAAUUUAAAAUACAAUAUAAAGUACAGUACAAGAAUGUAAAGGUGCCAAAUGGCACCUUAUUUUUUUAA